rnacentral:rRNA from 1 species
UACGUAGGGCGCAAGCGUUAUCCGGAAUUAUUGGGCGUAAAGAGCUCGUAGGCGGUUUGUCGCGUCUGCCGUGAAAGUCCGGGGCUUCAACUCCGGAUCUGCGGUGGGUACGGGCAGACUAGAGUGAUGUAGGGGAGACUGGAAUUCCUGGUGUAGCGGUGAAAUGCGCAGAUAUCAGGAGGAACACCGAUGGCGAAGGCAGGUCUCUGGGCAUUAACUGACGCUGAGGAGCGAAAGCAUGGGGAGCGAACAGG